rnacentral:sRNA from 1 species
AAAACAAUACAAAAAAU